rnacentral:rRNA from 1 species
UACAGAGGAUGCAAGCGUUAUCCGGAAUGAUUGGGCGUAAAGCGUCUGUAGGUGGCUUUUUAAGUCCGCCGUCAAAUCCCAGGGCUCAACUCUGGACAGGCGGUGGAAACUACCAAGCUUGAGUACGGUAGGGGCAGAGGGAAUUUCCGGUGGAGCGGUGAAAUGCGUAGAGAUCGGAAAGAACACCAACGGCGAAAGUACUCUGCUGGGCCGACACUGACACUGAGGAGCGAAAGCGUGGGGAGCGAACAGG